rnacentral:lncRNA from 10 species
UUGCCUCCUGAGCCCUGUCCUAAGGACACUCUGCACAUCGCCUCCUGUAUUCUCAGCAAGCUUUGUCCCCGCCUUCUGCAAAAGCUGUCUUGCUGGUCAGCAGUGACAUCCAUGCUGCUAAAGCCAGUGGAAAUGCUGGGCCUCAUCUUCCUAGAAGCUGCACUUGACCAUGGCCUCCCCAGGCUCUCGUGCCCGCGUUCAGCCCUCACCACCUACCUCUGUGUCCUGAUCAGCUCCCAGGCCAGUACCUCAUCAUCGUGAGUCUGUUCUACAUGAGAGUCCCGCACCGUCUGAAUGCGCUGUGUCUGGCCUGGAUGCUGCACCCUGAUUCCUCAGGGUAACAGUCAUUCACCUUUGGCUGCUCAGCCUCCAAGCCACACGCCAUGGUCAGCCUCGGCCACUAUCACAGCUGGUCCUGGAGGCUGCAGGGCUCCCUCUCUUGGACCCAGUACUCCCACUACUCCCUCCCCAACUGAUAUGGUUUGGCUGUGUCUCCAUCCAAGUCUCAUCUUAAAUUGUAGUUCCCAAAAAUUGCACGUGUUGUGGGAGGGAGUUGUGGGAGAUAAUUUAAUCCUGGGGGGCGGUUUUCCCCAUACUGUUCUCGUGUUAGUGAAUAAGUCUCACCAGAUGUGGUGAUUUCAUAAGUGGUCUCCCCUUUUGCUUGGUUUUCAUUCUCUCUCGUCUGCGCCAUGUAAGAUGUGCCUUUGGC